AUGAGAAUUUAAUUCAAUAAUUUAAUAGUUAAAACUGUUAAAGAAAAUUUGAUUUUAGUUCAGGUCAAAUAAUGUAGAACAGAUCACUUUCCACUUCUGUAAUAUUAUAUGUUGUAUAAUUCUUGCUACAGUAUUAUGAAAUAUGCUGAUAUAACUAUUACCUAUUGAGAAUAAAGAAAACUUCAUCUUUUGUAAAUAAUGAUUAUAAGUAUAUACACUCUGGUCAAAUCCCUGUACACUGGGUGUGUCUCAGGCCACCUAUAUACACAUUUGGAGUGUUUGGAUGGCAGUGUGGUAAUUGUUGUCACACUGCCAUUGCAUAGUAACUAUUAUCACACAGCCAUCCAAAUGCUACAAAUGGAUGUAUGGGUGGUCUGGGACACCCAGUAUAUAGUUUGUAAAUAACAGCACUAAACAGCAGUUAAAAAUAAUAACUAAAACUCUUUUUAAUGGAAAGUUUU
rnacentral:lncRNA from 1 species